CCACAUUUGACACUCGUUUAUUCAACUAUUCCAAUCACUUAGAUGUUCUAUUAUAUCUAAACUAUACCUAACAUGCAUUAACUUAUCUUAAUCUAAAACAAAAUAAAUUAAAAUUUCCUUGGAGUCUCGGAUUUGAGAGCUUACCGGUAGGAUGCUAGGUUUGAUGUUUGAAGAGAUCCUCUCAGUUCACCGUGUCUGGGUAGCGGUUUGAAUGUCUAGCCAUGCAUGGUCCAUGUGAGGUAUGGUUAACUGUACCAAAACAAUGAGGUAAAAGGAUGGGAAAGGUUACUGGAGGGUUAACUUCAUGGGGACCCCAUAAGUCAUGGCCACCGUCUAGUUUCUCUUCCCUUUUUUCCUCUCGGUUGUUGUGCUCCAGUGAUGACGUUCCUCCCUUUAUAAGUCAAACUUCAAUCUCUCACUCUCUUUCUCUUUCUUUCUCUCUCCCAACGUUGCAUCCUCUCUCUCUCUUUCCCGGUCGUCUUAUCCCAACUUGAAGGAAAUCCGAAUCAGGUUUCCUU
rnacentral:lncRNA from 1 species